GGGCAGUGAACAUCAGAAUUUGGUGCUGUGUAGAGAGAGACUUGCUUCCUCACCCAGGGAAUGACAAAGAGGAGGGAGGAUCUCUGGACACUGGAGAAGUUUUAAUCACAAACUGCAGAGGAUGACUGUGAAGGCCUUAUUGUUCGCUCUGCCACCAAGGUGACCGCUGAUGUCAUCAACGCAGCUGAGAAACUCCAGGUGGUGGGCAGGGCUGGCACAGGUGUGGACAAUGUGGAUCUGGAGGCCGCAACAAGGAAGGGCAUCUUGGUUAUGAACACGCCCAAUGGGAACAGCCUCAGUGCCGCAGAACUCACCUGUGGGAUGAUCAUGUGCCUGGCCAGGCAGAUUCCCCAGGCGACGGCUUCGAUGAAGGAUGGCAAAUGGGAGCGGAAGAAGUUCAUGGGAACAGAGCUGAAUGGAAAGACCCUGGGAAUUCUUGGCCUGGGCAGGAUUGGGAGAGAGGUAGCUACCCGGAUGCAGUCCUUUGGGAUGAAGACUAUAGGGUAUGACCCCAUCAUUUCCCCAGAGGUCUCGGCCUCCUUUGGUGUUCAGCAGCUGCCCCUGGAGGAGAUCUGGCCUCUCUGUGAUUUCAUCACUGUGCACACUCCUCUCCUGCCCUCCACGACAGGCUUGCUGAAUGACAACACCUUUGCCCAGUGCAAGAAGGGGGUGCGUGUGGUGAACUGUGCCCGUGGAGGGAUCGUGGACGAAGGCGCCCUGCUCCGGGCCCUGCAGUCUGGCCAGUGUGCCGGGGCUGCACUGGACGUGUUUACGGAAGAGCCGCCACGGGACCGGGCCUUGGUAGACCAUGAGAAUGUCAUCAGCUGUCCCCACCUGGGUGCCAGCACCAAGGAGGCGCAGAGCCGCUGUGGGGAGGAAAUUGCUGUUCAGUUUGUGGACAUGGUGAAGGGGAAAUCUCUCACGGGGGUUGUGAAUGCCCAGGCCCUUACCAGUGCCUUCUCUCCACACACCAAGCCUUGGAUUGGUCUGGCAGAAGCUCUGGGGACACUGAUGCGAGCCUGGGCUGGGUCCCCCAAAGGGACCAUCCAGGUGAUAACACAGGGAACAUCCCUGAAGAAUGCUGGGAAUUGCCUAAGCCCCGCAGUCAUUGUCGGUCUCCUGAAAGAGGCUUCCAAGCAGGCGGAUGUGAACUUGGUGAACGCCAAGCUGCUGGUGAAAGAGGCUGGCCUCAAUGUCACCACCUCCCACAGCCCUGCUGCACCAGGGGAGCAAGGCUUCGGGGAAUGCCUCCUGGCCGUGGCCCUGGCAGGCGCCCCUUACCAGGCUGUGGGCUUGGUCCAGGGCACUACACCUGUACUGCAGGGGCUCAAUGGAGCUGUCUUCAGGCCAGAAGUGCCUCUCCGCAGGGACCUGCCCCUGCUCCUAUUCCGGACUCAGACCUCUGACCCUGCAAUGCUGCCUACCAUGAUUGGCCUCCUGGCAGAGGCAGGCGUGCGGCUGCUGUCCUAUCAGACUUCACUGGUGUCAGAUGGGGAGACCUGGCACGUCAUGGGCAUCUCCUCCUUGCUGCCCAGCCUGGAAGCGUGGAAGCAGCAUG
rnacentral:sRNA from 1 species